rnacentral:rRNA from 1 species
GACGAACGCUGGCGGCGUGCCUAAUACAUGCAAGUCGAACGCUGAAGAGAGGAGCUUGCUCUUCUUGGAUGAGUUGCGGACGGGUGAGUAACGCGUAGGUAACCUGCCUUGUAGCGGGGGACAACUAUUGGAAACGACAGCUAAUACCGCAUAACAAUGGAUGACACAUGUCAUUUAUUUGAAAGGGGCAAUUGCUCCACUACAAGAUGGACCUGGGUUGUCUUAGCUAAUAGGUGAGGUAAUGGCUCACCUAGGCCACGAUAGAUAACCGACCCUGGGGGGGGGUCGGCCAACAUUGGACUGAGAACCCGCCCAGACUCCCUCGGGAGGCAGCAGUAGGGAAUCUUCGGCAAUGGGGGCAACCCUGACCGAGCAACGCCGCGUGAGUGAAGAAGGUUUUUGGAUCGUAAAGCUCUGUUGUAAGUCAAGAACGGGUGUGAGAGUUGAAAGUUCACACUGUGACGGUAGCUAACCAGAAAGCGACGGCUAACUACGUG